rnacentral:rRNA from 1 species
GAUGAACGCUGGCGGCGUGCCUAAUACAUGCAAGUCGAGCGAACGGACGAGAAGCUUUCUUUUCUGAUUUUAGCGGCGGACGGGUGAGUAACACGUGGAUAACCUACCUAUAAGACUGGGAUAACUUCGGGAAACCGGAGCUAAUACCGGAUAAUAUUUUGAAAUGCAUUGUUAAAAAGUGAAAGAAGGUUGGGUGGAUAGUUAGAUAGGUAUCCCCGGUGAAUUAGCUAGUUGGUAAGGUAAGGGGUUACCAAGGCAACGAUGCAUAGCCGAUCUGAGAGGGUGAUCGGCCACACUGGAACUGAGACACGGUCCAGACUCCUACGGGAGGCAGCAGUAGCGAAUCUUCCACACUAGUCCAAAUCCUAACCCAACAACACCAAGUCAGGCAUGAAGGUCUUCGGAUCGUAAAACUCUGUUAUUAGGGAAGAACAUAUUUUUCAUUAACUAUGCCCAUCUUAACAUUCCCUCAUCAGAAACCCACGGCUAACUACCUG